rnacentral:rRNA from 1 species
UACGGAGGGAGCUAGCGUUGUUCGGAAUUACUGGGCGUAAAGCGCACGUAGGCGGCUUUGUAAGUUAGAGGUGAAAGCCUGGAGCUCAACUCCAGAAUUGCCUUUAAGACUGCAUCGCUUGAAUCCAGGAGAGGUGAGUGGAAUUCCGAGUGUAGAGGUGAAAUUCGUAGAUAUUCGCAGGAACACCAGUGGCGAAGGCGGCUUCCUGGUCUG